UUCGGUUUUGUAUAUCUACAGCUGCCUUUUUCAAGUAUUGGUCCUUUCACUUUACAUUGCUCGGAAUCAUUGGGUGAAUGUGGUGACGCUUGGGUCUUGGUCAAAGGGUGGUCAGCAGAAGUCAAAAUACUCAGUCCGCUUACCGAGUUGUACAAUGCGAUUUAGUUACGAAACAGCCACGAGGAAAGGUAUAAUCGCACACUCGACCAACAAAUUAGUUACACAACCAUAAAUCUGUCGUUCAGUAUUACCAAUAUUGUCAUUAAAUAACAUCUUCUACUUCAAUGCUUUCUUUCAAAGGAAGUCCGUACUGGAUGGCACCCGAGGUUGUAAUGAAUACAAGUGGUUAUAGUCUUGCGGUUCCCUCAAGACACAGUGGCAAAAUGACAUUUGACCCGUGGUAUGAAGUUCCGCAGGUCAAACUACACCCACUAGAACCCCAAGAUCAUGGAUCGUUUGAUUAGGGUCCAGUGACCAAUAGACCUGCUAGAUCACUGGUCAAUCCAGUGUCAAGUAUAUUGGGCAGAGGUUGUAGGGAAUUAUUCGUUUCUGUGAUGCACUGUAAAUAAAACCUACUAGAAAAGAACUUUUAAUAGUGCACAUUUCUUAAAGACUUGAAGUGAAUUGGUCUACUUGCUAAAAUACGUCAUGUACUUUAACCUUUCAAACAAUUGUUAUUUUACUAAGCCAAAGAAUUGUUAUUAUAGCAAGCCAUGUGCAUAUCUGUGUUGUAAGUAAUAUCGAUUUUAUAUUAUGAUUUUUUAAAAUUACAACGUUAGCGCGUCGCCACUAAG